UCGCAUCCGCCAACCGGUUCAGCCGUGACGCGGAAGGUUUGUUAACCAGCUAACGCUUCCUUCAGGGAAGUGGAGGUCAGCG
rfam:Acidovorax sp. JS42, complete genome.